rnacentral:lncRNA from 1 species
AGGAGAACAAGGAAGAGGAUGAGGUUGAAGACGAGGAGGAGGACAACGACUACAAUGACGAUGAGUAGCUACUACCGGUGUGCUGGAGUUCAUUUCCUUUUUGGUGCUUGAUGCCAAAUAGGGAGUUAAUAUUUGGAUAGAUUUAUGUAUUUCGAACUAUGUCUUUAUCCUCUAUGGUGUGUAAGACUAUGUGAAAAUGAGAACUUGUAAUGGGUGUGCUUUGAAUGCUUAGAAUUACUUUUAUUUAUCUAAGGAUGAUUGUGUGUUUGUGUGAAAAAUUUUCUGUGAUGGUUGUUAUUUGAGUAUGACAAAAUGUACGGAGAUUCCGGAUACUUUUCCGGAAAUUCCGUAGCUUACGGAGAAUUCCGGAGAUUUCUACAAAUUCUCUGAACAUUCUAUCAUCUUUCUCUUUAUUGUUUUUGUUGAAGUGUAUAUCUAUCGUAUGCAUCACAAGAACAUGUUUCACACACUCUUUG